CACAAAUGCACGCUUCACCAAUUUCAUUUUCUUUUCCAGUAUAUUGAACCUCGAAAUAGGUAUAGUUCUUUCUUUCUAUUGACCUUCUUUUUUGCUUCAUUACUUCUCUUUUGUGUGUAGGGUUUAUCGAUUUUGCAAAUGAGGCAGAUGAGAGGGCCAAGGAAGCGGAUAUUCGGGUCCACGAAUUGGAGGAGCAGAAUAAGUUGCCUGAGGAUUCUCAUCUCUACGAGUACCGAUGCGAGAAACAGAUGGCAAAUUAAUUUCUUCACCAAAUUUUCUUAAUCUUUUUAACACUUAUGUUGUUCACCUCUUAUUGAUUGUAUGAUUAAUUGUGAAAUUACCUCUGUGGGAUUUGGAAAUUUAUUAAAAGCCAUAGGUUUUGUAGGGCUAACUAACCAAAUAAGUGAUUUUGGGUAAAGGGAAAAUAUGAAGAAAGCAAAUUGAUCUUACUGAGCCGUGUAUUAUAUAAUUCCCUUGUUUUUUUUUUCCUUGAGAGACUUGUUAAUUUAGAAAAAUGGAAACUUGGAUGAUGGUAAUACAUCCUGAAAAUCAAAGUUCUUUUCAAUGAUAGAAUAGUGUCACCCACUCAACUUUGGGCUGCAUGAGUUUCUAGGACAUUUUUGGAUAAAGUAUGAACUAAGUGGGCAUGAAAAUGGAAAAUGAAUAUUAGUAAUACUGGAAGGAGAUGAAGAUGAAAAUGGAAAAUGAAUAUUAGUAAUACUGUCUGAACUUUAUGAUCCUCUUCUCUAACAUCAAUCUUUACUGCUGAGGAAUUCUGUUAUUGCUGCCGGCCUAUUCUGAAUAUGUGACUUCUUUCUGUUUUAAAUUUGCUACUUUUAUGUCGUAACUUUGAACUUUGCUUCAGAAUCUUCUCUUCCAGUUAUAUUUUGCGGUUUAUGACUUUCUAGAUUGAUUAACAUAGAAAAUAGAUAAACUAUACAGUUAACAACUGGUUGAGGAUGUAAACGCUUGACAAUGGGAGAAUGUAGUUUCAAAAUCAAAGAAAAUCCUUUGGUAACAAUUUAUAUCUCAUUUGGCCUAAUAGAAGUUUCGUUUGUAGCCAUUUGAAAUCAUAAAUUACUUUGUAUUACAAGUAACGUUUCUUUAAUUUUUCUGUCAUUUUUUAAGUUUCAAGAUUCAUGUAAUGAAUUUUCUGUUUUCAUUGGAACAUGAGGGGAAAUUGUGAUUAAUUCAGAGUUAUGACAUGCGUGUGCAGGCCCAUUCGUUUGUUUACCUCCUGUGGGAAGUCUUGUGGUCUAUUUUCCUCAAGGUCAUAGUGAACAAGUACGUCCUUUCUCUCCUUUCUCUCUAUUUCGAGAAAUAUUGUAAAUUUUCACACGAUAUCUGAUAUGUACUUGUAUAUAUUCUAUUUGUAGGUGGCAGCAUUGAUUCAAAAGGAGGCUGAGAGCAUCCCAAGUUAUCCAAACCUUCCGUCGAAGUUGAUCUCCAUGCUCCAUAAUGUCAAUUUACAUGUAUGAACACUUCCAUAGUGCAACGGAAACUUUUAAACAUUUUUUUCUCCGUGUCGAAAUUUAUUUUCUUCUUGGGUUUUAUACUAGAUAAGUACUUGAUGAUCGUCAAUUUGAUCUACUAUGCAAUAAAUCAAUAUCAAUAAUGAUGUUCAAUUUGAUCUAUCUAUGCAGUAAGUCAACAUCAGCGAUAUUUAUCUUCAAUGGCUUUAGUUGUUAUUUGACUGGAUCAAUCUUAUGUUUCUUUAUCCUCUCCUCAGUAAGUUUUUUCCCCUGCCUUCCUUUUCAUGGUACUUCAAUUUGUGAUUUUUGGCUCUUUAAGAGAGAAUAUGGAUGGGAUCAUUUUACUGUAUUUCAAGAUUUUUAUGGUGAUGAGUUUCUGGUUCAUGCCCCAAUGUUCUCUCUUUUCACAUGUGAAAAAGGAUCUUGUUUUCUUGCUGUCGUUUUUGCUGUCUCACAUCUGCUUGCAGAGUCAACCACUUGAUGGUGGCUGUAUAUGUAGUUGUACAGGCAGCUGUUCCAUCUUUAAUGUUUGUGUUGUUUCCCAUUUCAGCAUCUUGUCAGUUAUUGCUUUGACAUGUAUGAUUCACAAUUUAUGUUUAAUGUGUGUGCACAUUAUAUUGUAUUUUCACAUGCCUAACAAAUGGGGGGGGAAAAAAAAGUGCUAGCAGAUUUUGACAAUACUGUGAGUUAAUUUGUUGUACUUUAUAGUUAGGAGUUGUUUCAAAAAGUUCUCCAUAAAAAGGUUUGUGGAUUUAGAUAAAAGAUGGUGAAAUGUGUCACAUGUGGUUGAAAAGUUGAUAAAAGUUGUGUGUUCCAUGAUAUUAUGGUUAAAAUCAAUUUUUUAGCAACAUUUUUUGCUUUCCUGAACAAGCACUUUGUAGAUAAGCAUUUACUAUCCCCUUACGUAUUAGACUGCAAAUAAUUCUCUUUCUUUCCUUUUCUUUUGUCCCGUCUGUAUUUGUUCCUUUUGGCAUAAUUAUUUUCGUUCAAUCAGUGCAAGCAAUAUGAGAAGGACCUAAUGGACAUGAUCGAUAGAGAAGUGGAUGGAAGUGAUAGUCUUGAGGGGAUUUGUUCUGUGCCAUUCAAUUGCUAGUGGUACAAGCUAAGGUUUCCAAAUCCUAUCACAUUGUGCAAAUUUUCUAUGUAAAUUCCAAAAUAUGAAUGUCUUGAUUCAUAUUUGAUUUUCAUAAGAAUAUGAAACUGGUUUUGUACUGUUCACGGAAGGACAGGUCAACUGCACUGUAGAGGCCCAAUUUAUUCUCUCUGCUUUCACUGUAUAUACUCAAUGUAUCUAUCUCUUCCUUUUCAUUUCUUCCCCCAUUUAGCCAUCCUUGUUGACUAUAUAAUAGUUAUUUGCUUUCCAUGUAGCCACCAUUCUUUCUAGCUACAGUGGUUCUGCAUUGUUCAUUAAAUGAUCGCCCUAACAAAGCGUCAUUUCUUCCAUCUCUAAACCCUCUUUUUUCUUUCCCGAAUUUCAAUCCCCAUUCCCAACACACUUUAAUUCCUCCUACAACGCUAAAAACCCUUCAAUUAAUUUCAUCUCUCCAGGAAUGAGCUGGCUGUACAAGCUUAGAUUUGGUGUUCUUAACUCCACCGACUCCAUGUGGAUUCCUCUUUCGAUUCUUCCAUAGCGCAUGGGACUAGACGAUCAUGUACUCGCUCUGAGCCAUCAGUUCGUGCAAUUCGAAGGAGGUAGAGAAUAUAGUAUUGGCUUCCUCCAUUGCAAUUUAUUGUUGAGUUUUUUUAAAACAGUAUUUAAUCGUAUCCCCAAGAAAAAUUUAUGAAUUUCAGUUCAGAAAUUUGAGAAAAAAUGUGAAGUUUAGGUUUGCUUUCAUCUUAAAUGUCUUAAAAGUUUGUUCUUAUUGGCAAAAAGUUUUAAAUUUCUGCAUUUAUUUAAUUAAGCUUGCUCAUUUUUAUCACCGGCAAAACUAAGAUUUCAGAUUUUGGGUGUGGUGUGGGGCUGAGCAACAUAGGGAAGCAGCAAUGCACAAAGGUCACUCAGAUUAAAAGGCUAAUUGCUAGAAACUGGUGAAUAUAAGCACAAGGAAGAUUUGGAAAUGCUUAUAAAUUUAGAGCUGGGGAAGUUAAAUUAUGUUGAGAACGAGUUCCGGAAUUAUGAAUAUAUUGUAAGAAAAAAUAAUAAAUGAGAUUGUAUAUAAAAUAAAAAGUGGAGCAAUUUGAUUGAAUUAUGCCACUAUGAGUUUUAAUUUUUGAUUUCUUUUAUUUUUUGAUUGUCAAAUUUGUCGACGAAUAAAUGAAACAUAGGAUUGAGUUGAGUAUGACGUGGAGAAAUGUGACUAGAGAGCUUGAAACAUUGACCUCUUGAAAAUUAACUUUUGAGAACGUGAAAACUUCCAACUAGAAAGUAGAAACUGCAUGAUCGGCUGAAUAAUUUGUAAAAAGAAGUGACAAACUGUAAUUUCUCUAUUUUGUGAUUUAUGUUUUCGUGAACAUUAUUGUAGCUAGAUGUUCCUUUAGUUUAUCAUUCACAUAUUGAAAUGAGAUAUUGCACAUGCUAGAAGAAAUAUGUAAUCCUCCUUCUGGUUCUUGGCAAAAUUUGAAGGUGAGUAGAAUUUUCUGAGUACGAACUUUGUUGUUGUUGUUUUUUUUUCUGGCAAUUAUAUUUAUCUUGUGAAAAACUGUUUCAGGAUUACAUGUGAAAAUCUAGGGAUGUUUUUUUUCUCAAGUUUCUUGUGAUGAUGAUGGUAAGUUAUUUUACUCAAUACAAUUUUUUUUACUAUAGAGAUGCUAAUGGCUCCGUGCAACCUUGUUAAUGGGGUUUAUAAACAUUUGUUACUAUAUUCAGGAACCUUUGGCAUAGUUAACUAUAGUAAUUGCUAAAACAUUAAUUAUGUUGUAAGUCACAGUUGUAUUCAUCUUCAAAAUGUUUGAGCUUCUGUGCAUCCAUGAAUUUUUCUAGUCAAUUUGGUAAUUUGUUGUCCUCUUGCUCAGAUCCGGAAAUUUGAUGAUCACGAUUUGAAGAAUCUUUCGACCAGAAUAAUAUCCGGGUAUUCUUUUAUAUUUUUUCUCUUCUUUGUCUGUUUUUCUUCUCUUUUAAGGGAUUAAAUUUUCAAAGAAUGUCGUUUCUUCUUUAUCAAAAAAAAAAAAAAAACCCAAAGCAAGCACUUGGAAUUCAGUUUCUAUUUCUAAUAUAGUGUUAGAAAUUACAUUUGUGCCUUUGUAACCUAUACAAUGCUCAAAUCUUGAACUUCUUACUUCUUAGAGGGAUUUAACUCUUACAGUAUCGUAAUUUUUACUACUAAAAUCUAAGAAUUCGUACAAUAAUAUCUUUACGAAAGUAACUAUCUUAUGAAAUAAUAAACUUUUUUCUUUGUAAAUCAAUAAAUUCAGGUAAAGGAAUACAAGCACAGCCCAUCAAGAAGGCCACGUAGGAGCCGCCGUAGAAUAUCGUAAUUCUUACUACUGAAAUCUAAGAAUUCGU
rnacentral:lncRNA from 1 species